CAUAAGGAGAGCACAGCGCUACGAAACUCUGCAAUCAUACUGUGUGUGUUUUUGAUUCUUGCACUCAUAGGAGUUCUGUGGUAUAGGAGGAGAAGGUUUACCUUUUCUAAAACCCACAGGACUGAAAAGGUGGAGGAGGAGGUUCAGUAUGACCCGGUGCACAAU